GCUCCAGCGAGGCCUUGUCAAUGUUGCUGCCAACGGCGUUAUGUCAAUGAAUUGAACAUCGUGAGCUACUCCUCGAUCAAAGUGUGUUCAUCAUGAGACGCAGCAAACGAACAUCAAGGCGAACACUUCAUCGUCAUGUGAGCCAAGCUGUAGCGGGAAGCUUUUGCGUGAUAAACUGAAGGAGCAUCAUAUGACUGUCGCAACGAUGGUAACGCCGGCAGUGAAACGCGUUCGAUGUUUGUGGGCCAGUCAAGCGAACCGCUUUCGAUGUUGGUGAACACUCCUAGUGAUCAUGAGCCACGUCCCGUGUUGGUAGAUCAAAGUCUUGGCGACCACGGAAGCAGUGAUGUGGAUGAGGUUCGUGACAUUGACGGUGCGAACUUGACUGAAUCGCGGCCUUCCCACCCGGAGGAAGCACUUCCAAAACUGACUGCAAUUUUCGUACCUGAAGCAUCAUGUGUGCUUCAAUAUGUGGCUACCUACACUUUUUACGUCUUACAAAUAAGUGCACAGUGCUGGGAA